GUAUGUGCGGGGGGAGCGUCACGUGUCGUCCCCUUGGAAGGCCCGGAUAAAGAGCCAGGCACGCCUCUUGGUAGCAUAGCAAAUCUUACACGUGCGGGAGGAGCAUCAGGUGUCAUCUCCUUGGAAGGCCCAAAUGGAGGGACGGGGCCUUUCGGCAGCAUAGGAAAUCUCAUACGCGCAGGGGGACCAUCAGGUGACCACCUGUGGGAAAGCCCG
rnacentral:lncRNA from 1 species